AACGAACGCUGGCGGCAGGCUUAACACAUGCAAGUCGAACGCACCUUUCGGGGUGAGUGGCAGACGGGUGAGUAACGCGUGGGAAUCUACCCUUCUCUACGGGAUAGCUCCGGGAAACUGGAAUUAAUACCGUAUACGUCCUGAGGGAGAAAGAUUUAUCGGGGAAGGAUGAGCCCGCGUUGGAUUAGCUAGUUGGUGGGGUAAAGGCCUACCAAGGCGACGAUCCAUAGCUGGUCUAAGAGGAUGAUCAGCCACAUUGGGACUGAGACACGGCCCAAACUCCGACGGGAGGCAGCAGUGGGGAAUAUUGGACAAUGGGCGCAAGCCUGAUCCAGCCAUGCCGCGUGAGUGAUGAAGGCCCUAGGGUUGUAAAGCUCUUUCAGUGGGGACGAUAAUGACGGUACCCACAGAAGAAGCCCCGGCUAACUUCGUG
rnacentral:rRNA from 1 species